GAUACGAUAAAAAAAUCUGCUAAAUUUUUGUUCUAGCAAUAACCUGCCAGUCGCAUCA
rnacentral:tRNA from 1 species